AAAACCUUUUGGGUUGAGGGUCUGAAAAACUCAUACAUCGUGUGUUGUCUAUCAGCUUCAUCUCUUGAAUUUGCAACGAGACUGGAGUUAAAUAACAGCACUAGAUUC